UGCCCCAUGGCUGAGUUGGUUACAGCGUCCGACUGUUAUUUCUCUGACAUCGGAAGGUCGUGAGUUCGAGCCUCACUGGGGCAG
rnacentral:tRNA from 1 species